UACGUAGGGUGCAAGCGUUGUCCGGAAUUAUUGGGCGUAAAGAGCUUGUAGGCGGUUUGUCGCGUCGGGAGUGAAAUCCACUGGCUUAACCCUGGGCCUGCAUUCGAUACGGGCAGACUAGAGUUCGGUAGGGGAGACUGGAAUUCCUGGUGUAGCGGUGAAAUGCGCAGAUAUCAGGAGGAACACCGGUGGCGAAGGCGGGUCUCUGGGCCGAUACUGACGCUGAGGAGCGAAAGCGUGGGGAGCGAACAGG
rnacentral:rRNA from 1 species